rnacentral:rRNA from 1 species
GGGUUGUGAGGUUAAGCGAACAAGCGUACACGGUGGAUGCCCUGGCAGUCAGAGGCGAUGAAGGACGUGCUAAUCUGCGAAAAGCGCCGGUAAGGUGAUAUGAACCGUUAUAACCGGCGAUGUCCGAAUGGGGAAACCCGGUGCACUUCGGUGCAUCAUCGUUAGCUGAAUACAUAGGCUAACGAGGCGAACCGGGGGAACUGAAACAUCUAAGUACCCCGAGGAAAAGAAAUCAACCGAGAUUCCCCCAGUAGCGGCGAGCGAACGGGGAACAGCCCAGAGCCUGAAUCAGCUUGUGUGUCAGUGGAACGGUCUGGAAAGGCCGGCGAUACAGGGUGACAGCCCCGUACACGAAGGCACACAGGCUGUGAGCUCGAUGAGUAGGGCGGGACACGUGAUAUCCUGUCUGAAGAUGGGGGGACCAUCCUCCAAGGCUAAAUACUCCUGACUGACCGAUAGUGAACCAGUACCGUGAGGGAAAGGCGAAAAGAACCCCGGCGAGGGGAGUGAAACAGAACCUGAAACCGUGUACGUACAAGCAGUGGGAGCCUUCGUAAGAGGGUGACUGCGUACCUUUUGUAUAAUGGGUCAGCGACUUAUAUUCUGUAGCAAGGUUAACCGUAUAGGGGAGCCGAAGGGAAACCGAGUCUUAACCGGGCGUUAAGUUGCAGGGUAUAGACCCGAAACCCGGUGAUCUAGCCAUGGGCAGGUUGAAGGUUGGGUAACACUAACUGGAGGACCGAACCGACUAAUGUUGAAAAAUUAGCGGAUGACCUGUGGCUGGGGGUGAAAGGCCAAUCAAACCGGGAGAUAGCUGGUUCUCCCCGAAAGCUAUUUAGGUAGCGCCUCGUGAACUCAUCUCCGGGGGUAGAGCACUGUUUCGGCUAGGGGGCCAUCCCGGCUUACCAACCCGAUGCAAACUGCGAAUACCGGAGAAUGUUAUCACGGGAGACACACGGCGGGUGCUAACGUCCGUCGUGAAGAGGGAAACAACCCAGACCGCCAGCUAAGGUCCCAAAGUCAUGGUUAAGUGGGAAACGAUGUGGGAAGGCCCAGACAGCCAGGAUGUUGGCUUAGAAGCAGCCAUCAUUUAAAGAAAGCGUAAUAGCUCACUGGUCGAGUCGGCCUGCGCGGAAGAUGUAACGGGGCUAAACCAUGCACCGAAGCUGCGGCAGCGACACUAUGUGUUGUUGGGUAGGGGAGCGUUCUGUAAGCCUGUGAAGGUGUGCUGUGAGGCAUGCUGGAGGUAUCAGAAGUGCGAAUGCUGACAUAAGUAACGAUAAAGCGGGUGAAAAGCCCGCUCGCCGGAAGACCAAGGGUUCCUGUCCAACGUUAAUCGGGGCAGGGUGAGUCGACCCCUAAGGCGAGGCCGAAAGGCGUAGUCGAUGGGAAACAGGUUAAUAUUCCUGUACUUGGUGUUACUGCGAAGGGGGGACGGAGAAGGCUAUGUCGGCCGGGCGACGGUUGUCCCGGUUUAAGCGUGUAGGCUGACUUUCCAGGCAAAUCCGGAAAGUUAAGGCUGAGGCGUGAUGACGAGGCACCACGGUGCUGAAGUGACAAAUGCCCUGCUUCCAGGAAAAGCCUCUAAGCAUCAGGUAACAUCAAAUCGUACCCCAAACCGACACAGGUGGUCAGGUAGAGAAUACCAAGGCGCUUGAGAGAACUCGGGUGAAGGAACUAGGCAAAAUGGUGCCGUAACUUCGGGAGAAGGCACGCUGACAUGUAGGUGAAGCCCCUGCGGGUGGAGCUGAAGUCAGUCGAAGAUACCAGCUGGCUGCAACUGUUUAUUAAAAACACAGCACUGUGCAAACACGAAAGUGGACGUAUACGGUGUGACGCCUGCCCGGUGCCGGAAGGUUAAUUGAUGGGGUUAUCGCAAGAGAAGCUCCUGAUCGAAGCCCCGGUAAACGGCGGCCGUAACUAUAACGGUCCUAAGGUAGCGAAAUUCCUUGUCGGGUAAGUUCCGACCUGCACGAAUGGCGUAAUGAUGGCCAGGCUGUCUCCACCCGAGACUCAGUGAAAUUGAACUCGCUGUGAAGAUGCAGUGUACCCGCGGCAAGACGGAAAGACCCCGUGAACCUUUACUACAGCUUGACACUGAACAUUGAGCCUUGAUGUGUAGGAUAGGUGGGAGGCUUUGAAGCGUGGACGCCAGUCUGCGUGGAGCCAACCUUGAAAUACCACCCUUUAAUGUUUGAUGUUCUAACCUGGCGCCGUAAUCCGGCGUGGGGACAGUGUCUGGUGGGUAGUUUGACUGGGGCGGUCUCCUCCCAAAGUGUAACGGAGGAGCACGAAGGUCAGCUAAUCCUGGUCGGACAUCAGGAGGUUAGUGCAAUGGCAUAAGCUGGCUUGACUGCGAGAGUGACGGCUCGAGCAGGUGCGAAAGCAGGUCAUAGUGAUCCGGUGGUUCUGUAUGGAAGGGCCAUCGCUCAACGGAUAAAAGGUACUCCGGGGAUAACAGGCUGAUACCGCCCAAGAGUUCAUAUCGACGGCGGUGUUUGGCACCUCGAUGUCGGCUCAUCACAUCCUGGGGCUGAAGUAGGUCCCAAGGGUAUGGCUGUUCGCCAUUUAAAGUGGUACGCGAGCUGGGUUUAGAACGUCGUGAGACAGUUCGGUCCCUAUCUGCCGUGGGCGCUGGAGAAUUGAGGGGGGCUGCUCCCAGUACGAGAGGACCGGAGUGGACGCAUCACUGGUGUUCGGGUUGUCAUGCCAAUGGCACUGCCCGGUAGCUAAAUGCGGAAGAGAUAAGUGCUGAAAGCAUCUAAGCACGAAACUUGCCCCGAGAUGAGUUCUCCCUGAGACUAUAAGUCUCCUGAAGGAACGUUGAAGACGACGACGUUGAUAGGCCGGGUGUGUAAGCGCAGCGAUGCGUUGAGCUAACCGGUACUAAUGAACCGUGAGGCUUAACCUUACAACGCCAAAGAAGU